rnacentral:rRNA from 1 species
AAGGAUCAUUAUCGAGUUUUGAACGGGUUGUAGCUGGCCUCUCACGAGGCAUGUGCACGCCUGGCUCAUCCACUCUUAACCUCUGUGCACUUUAUGUAAGAGAAAAAAAUGGUGGAAGCUUCCAGGAUCUCGCGAGAGGUCUUCGGUUGAACAAGCCGUUUUUCUUUCUUAUGUUUUACUACAAACGCUUCAGUCUAGAAUGUCAACUGUGUAUAACACAUUUAUAUACAACUUUCAGCAACGGAUCUCUUGGCUCUCGCAUCGAUGAAGAACGCAGCGAAAUGCGAUAAGUAAUGUGAAUUGCAGAAUUCAGUGAAUCAUCGAAUCUUUGAACGCACCUUGCACUCCUUGGUAUUCCGAGGAGUAUGCCUGUUUGAGUCUCAUGGUAUUCUCAACCCCUAAAUUUUUGUAAUGAAGGUUUAGCGGGCUUGGACUUGGAGGUUGUGUCGGCCCUUGUCGGUCGACUCCUCUGAAAUGCAUUAGCGUGAAUCUUACGGAUCGCCUUCAGUGUGAUAAUUAUCUGCGCUGUGGUGUUGAAGUAUUUAUGGUGUUCAUGCUUCGAACCGUCUCCUUGCCGAGACAAUCAUUUGACAAUCUGAGCUCAAAUCAGGUAGGACUACCCGCUGAACUUAAG